rnacentral:rRNA from 1 species
GACAGAGGGUGCAAACGUUGUUCGGAAUUACUGGGCGUAAAGCGUGUGUAGGCGGUCUCAUAAGUCGGGUGUGAAAGCCCGGGCUCAACCCGGGAAGUGCACUCGAAACUGCGAGGCUAGAGUACUGGAGAGGUUGGUGGAAUUCUCGGUGUAGAGGUGAAAUUCGUAGAUAUCGAGAGGAACACCGGUGGCGAAGGCGGCCAACUGGACAGAUACUGACGCUGAGACACGAAAGCGUGGGGAGCAAACAGG